rnacentral:tRNA from 2 species
AAAAUCCGUCGACUUUAGAAAUCGUGAGGGUUCAAGUCCCUCUAUCCCCCCAAAAAGACCGAUUUGACUAUUUCUCCUACCCUCUCUUUUUUUUAGUGGUUCAAAAUUCGUUCUCUUUCUCAUUCAUUCUACCUUUUUACAAACGUAUCAGAGCAGAAUUUUUUUUUUUAUCACAAUCACAAGUGGUGUGGUAUAUAUGAUAUACGUACAAAUGAACAUCUUUGAACAAAGAAUCCCGAUUCACAAUUCAUAUCAUUGCUCAUACUGAAACUUAUAAAUUAUUCUAUUCAAGAAAUCGAAUUCCACGCUCAAGACUUUUAAUACUUUUUUAAUUGACAUAGACCCCAGUCAUCUAGUAAAAUGAGGAUGAUGCGCCGGUAAUGGUCGGGAUAGCUCAGCUGGUAGAGCAGAGGACUGAAAAUCCUCGUGUCA